rnacentral:rRNA from 1 species
UACGUAGGGUGCAAGCGUUAAUCGGAAUUACUGGGCGUAAAGCGUGCGCAGGCGGCUUUGCAAGACAGAUGUGAAAUCCCCGGGCUCAACCUGGGAACUGCAUUUGUGACUGCAAGGCUAGAGUACGGUAGAGGGGGAUGGAAUUCCGCGUGUAGCAGUGAAAUGCGUAGAGAUGCGGAGGAACACCGAUGGCGAAGGCAGCCCCCUGGGUCGACACUGACGCUCAGGCACGAAAGCGUGGGGAGCAAACAGG